UCAACUUAGAUGGACCAGCUUAAAAAAAAUCAAUAAAAUGAUACUUUAAACUAAUUUAAAACUGAGAACAUAAUAGGAUACUUUCUUAAAGUUAGCUAACAAGCCUCGUCUCAUAUGUAUGGAUUGGCUUUUAAGGGCUAAGGCAUGACCAAUUAAAUUAGUGGGAAGUGCACAAAUGGAACUAGUCUCUAAUGAACGUUCACUAGACAUUUUCACGAGAACUGUGGGGAAUAUACUCAUUGAGGUAUCUUUAGUUUUUACACAAGAUAACAAAUGCUCAAUUAAUUGUAACUAACCAAGGACUUUUCUCCUGUUAAUAGGUGAAGCAUGCUUACUUUUCUAACUAAAUUUUCACUAGCACAGGGAAGAUUAAUAAAAUAUCUGGAUUCAGCAAUAUUUCUACCUUUCCUGAGUGCCGAGAAGAAUGUGAAAUAAAAUAAUGACUUCAUGAACUAACCUGUAUAUAUAUNNNNNNNNNNNNNNNNNNNNAAAAUGCUUAAUUAAUUGUAACUAACCAAGGACUUUUCUCCUGUUUAUAGGUGAAGCAUGCUUACUUUUCUAACUAAAUUUUUCACUAGCACAGGGAAGAUUAAUAAAAUAUCUGGAUUCAGCAAUAUUUCUACCUUUCCUGAGUGCCGAG
rnacentral:lncRNA from 1 species